AACGAACGCUGGCGGCAGGCUUAACACAUGCAAGUCGAACGCCCCGCAAGGGGAGUGGCAGACGGGUGAGUAACGCGUGGGAAUCUACCCAUCUCUACGGAAUAACUCAGGGAAACUUGUGCUAAUACCGUAUACGCCCUUAGGGGGAAAGAUUUAUCGGAGAUGGAUGAGCCCGCGUUGGAUUAGCUAGUUGGUGGGGUAAAGGCCUACCAAGGCGACGAUCCAUAGCUGGUCUGAGAGGAUGAUCAGCCACAUUGGGACUGAGACACGGCCCAAACUCCUACGGGAGGCAGCAGUGGGGAAUAUUGGACAAUGGGCGCAAGCCUGAUCCAGCCAUGCCGCGUGAGUGAUGAAGGCCUUAGGGUUGUAAAGCUCUUUCACCGGAGAAGAUAAUGACGGUAUCCGGAGAAGAAGCCCCGGCUAACUUCGUGCCAGCAGCCGCCGUAA
rnacentral:rRNA from 1 species